CAGCAGUGACAGCGCCGAUCAGAGGAUAGCCAGCAGAAAGCUGCUCAGUUUCCUCAGGGAAGCCGAGAAAUACAGGAGGCAGAUUGAAAAGUUGGAGAAGAAGGACGCUGACUGCUCAGUGCAGAAAGAAUGGCUGGACAGAUGUGCCUGGAGAAUUGGAAGAGUACGAGAAAGUGCUGGAGAAAAAGAUGCUGAGAAAAAUCUUCAAAAGCAGCUAGUGAAGAUUCAUGGUGUGGGGA